GCCGGGCCCGUGGGUGGGGGGGCCUGGCCCAGCCGAGGGCAGUGCCGCCGUGACCGCUGCUGUGGCUUCCACCCCGCUGGACGGGCUGCCUGACAGUGGUGGAGCUCAGGGCCCCUCACCCGCCCGCCUGCCGCGCCCGGGGCAGGAAGCAUUCCCAGAGCACCUGUUUCCUGAGGACCCCACCGGGGGCUCCCGGGCACCAUCUGGGCGCUGCCCCACAUGCUGUUUGCAUCAGGAGUUUAGAAAAACAAUUCGGCGUGGACUAAUCACUCUCUAAUUUUUUCAGGCGCAUCCCAAAGUCUCAGCCCUGCCCCCGCCCUCUUUCCCCGCCAGCCCUUCUCCGGGAGUCUAUGGGCUGCUACACACACACUGCUGCACACUCACACACUCACCCCAACUUCAUAUGCACACUCACUCACACUACCCACCUGCACAUCUNNNNNNNNNNNNNNNNNNNNNUCACCCCAACUUCAUAUGCACACUCACUCACACUACCCACCUGCACAUCUCACAGCACACACACACACUCACCCCAACUUCAUAUGCACACUCACACUACCCACCUGCACAUCCGCUCACUCAUAUGCACACUCACACUCACACACCCCAACUUCAUAUACAUACACACACUACCCACCUGCACAUCCAGUCAAACACGCACACACAGUGCACUCUUAGUUUACACUCUCACACACACGCAGAUGCCUCCCCCUUGCACAGUUCUGGAAAACGACUUCUUCUUGAGAGGGGACCCUUGGGGUGGUGGGGUGGUCAGCUGAGGGCGUUGGUCCUCGGGACCUGGCGUGCAGAGUGGGUUAGGAGUCAGGCCCUGAGAGAGACUGGGUUGAACCCCAGUUCUGCAGCCGUCCCCCUCUGGCCAAGCUGCCCACCUGUCCAGGCCUUGGGGCUCGCCACUGGUACCUGGAACAGCGGCCGCUGGCACCUCUGUGCAGGCUGCGUCAGUGCCCAGAACAAAGCGCCGCGUGUGUUUUGUUUAAAAACAUUCCCACAAAUCAAAGUGACAUCAAAACUCGUGCUGAAAUCUGGAUUUUCCUGCAGACUUCUCUGA
rnacentral:lncRNA from 1 species